GUUUCAAGUCUUGCUCUUGGGACAUAACACAAAACUCCUCUUCGUGUUAUUAACUCUAUCUAAAACUCAACCCCUUGAAAAAACUGUCUAGAACUCUAUCCACUCUCUCAGCAACCAAAGACUCAACUGAGAUUGUGAUCUCAAUCUCAGCCAUCUCAAUCUCUCAAACUUGAGAAUACUUACCCAAACCUAGUCUCUCCUUCAACCCAGGAAUCAUUUGCAUUCGCGUCCGGCUCUAUGGAGCUGUCCAACAACCACUCAAAAGAUUAGAGGAAGCUUGACUAUUUUCGAUUGGGUUAUUGGCCGGAGGGUUUGGGUCUUACUAGUUGGGUUUGAACAGGAAGACUUAUGAAAUUCUUCACAGUUUGAGCCUCAUCUCUGGUACUUCAUUAUUGGUCUCAUUUAUUCCGCCCUCUCUUUGUUUGGAUAAAUGCUCUAUUGAAUGACCGCUUAAGUGGAAUUCUAGGUUGUGGAGUUCUUUGCAUCUUGGUCAAGAAGAUUAUAACAGGUUGAGGCCUCUUAAUUACAGAGGAGCUGAUAUUUUUCUUCUUGCCUUUUCUCUCAUAAGUAGGCCUAGCUAUGAGAACAUAUCAAAGAAAUGGGUUCCAAAGCUUAGACAUUAUGCCUCAUCAGUGCCCAUUAUUCUCGUGGGAACUAAACUAGAUAAGUGAUA